UACGUAGGGGGGCUAGCGUUGUCCGGAAUCACUGGGCGUAAAGCGCACGUAGGCGGCUUUCUAAGUCAGGGGUGAAAUCCUGGAGCUCAACUCCAGAACUGCCUUUGAUACUGGAGAGCUUGAGUCCGGAAGAGGUGAGUGGAACUCCGAGUGUAGAGGUGAAAUUCGUAGAUAUUCGGAAGAACACCAGUGGCGAAGGCGGCUCACUGGUCCGGUACUGACGCUGAUGUGCGAAAGCGUGGGGAGCAAACAGG
rnacentral:rRNA from 1 species